rnacentral:rRNA from 1 species
AACGAACGCUGGCAGCAUGCCUAACACAUGCAAGUCGAACGAGACCUUCGGGUCUAGUGGCGCACGGGUGCGUAACGCGUGGGAACCUGCCCUUAGGUUCGGAAUAACUCCCCGAAAGGGGUGCUAAUACCGGAUAAUGUCUUCGGACCAAAGAUUUAUCGCCUUUGGAUGGGCCCGCGUUGGAUUAGCUAGUUGGUAGGGUAAAAGCCUACCAAGGCGACGAUCCAUAGCUGGUCUGAGAGGAUGAUCAGCCACACUGGGACUGAGACACGGCCCAGACUCCUACGGGAGGCAGCAGUGGGGAAUAUUGGACAAUGGGCGAAAGCCUGAUCCAGCAAUGCCGCGUGAGUGAUGAAGGCCUUAGGGUUGUAAAGCUCUUUUACCCGGGAUGAUAAUGACAGUACCGGGAGAAUAAGCUCCGGCUAUCUCCGUG